rnacentral:lncRNA from 1 species
CUGUUCCGGGCCGUCCAUUCAAGGCAGGAGUGCCCCGAAUAAAGUCUGGCUUGCUGCUCUUUGAUGAACACCGGCAGACUGGUAAUGUGACAUCUCCAUUGCCUAGAUGUAGGCAAAAAAAAUCCGUGUUUUAGAGCCUGAUGGUCC